GCGAAUUCGCCCUUCGGGGUGCCCAGGCGCGAAAACUUCACAAUGGGAGAAAUCCCGAUGAGGGAAUUCCAAGUGCUAGCACUAUGUGUUAGCUGUUCUUUUGUCUAAAAAACAGAAGAAGUAAGGGCCGGGUAAGACGGGUGCCAGCCGCCGCGGUAAUACCCGCGGCCCGAGUGGUGGUCGAUAUUAUUGAGCCUAAAACGUCCGUAGCCGGUCUUGUAAAUCCUUGGGUAAAUCGGCCAGCUUAACUGUCCGAAGUCCGGGGAGACUGCAAGACUUGGGAUCGGGAGAGGUCAGAGGUACUUCUGGGGUAGGGGUAAAAUCCUGUAAUCCUGGAAGGACCACCGGUGGCGAAGGCGUCUGACUAGAACGAAUUCGACGGUGAGGGACGAAGCCCUGGGGCGCAAACGGGAUUAGAUACCCCGGUAGUCCAGGGUGUAAACGCUGCGGGCUUGGUGUUGGGGGUCCUUUGUGGGCGCCCAGUGCCGGAGAGAAGUUGUUAAGCCUGCUGCUUGGGGAGUACGUCCGCAAGGAUGAAACUUAAAGGAAUUGGCGGGGGAGCAC
rnacentral:rRNA from 1 species